rnacentral:rRNA from 1 species
AUGCACGCUGGCGGCGUGCUUAACCCCUGCCAGUCGAACGGAAAGGCCCAAGCUUGCUUGGGUACUCGAGUGGCGAACGGGUGAGUAACACGUGGGUGAUCUGCCCUGCACUUCGGGAUAAGCCUGGGAAACUGGGUCUAAUACCGGAUAGGACCACGUCUUGGAUGUUGUGGUGGAAAGUUUUUUCGGUGUGGGAUGAGCUCGCGGCCUAUCAGCUUGUUGGUGGGGUAAUGGCCUACCAAGGCGUCGACGGGUAGCCGGCCUGAGAGGGUGUACGGCCACAUUGGGACUGAGAUACGGCCCAGACUCCUACGGGAGGCAGCAGUGGGGAAUAUUGCACAAUGGGCGCAAGCCUGAUGCAGCGACGCCGCGUGGGGGAUGACGGCCUUCGGGUUGUAAACUCCUUUCGCUAGGGACGAAGCGUUUUUGUGACGGUACCUGGAGAAGAAGCACCGGCUAACUACGUG